AUUCCGCAUCUGCAGCCAGGGAUGACUCAGGACAAGGAGGUGUGUGCGUGAAUCCAACGGCGGGAUCCUGAGUUACAGAGCUUUUAAAAUGUAGGUUUGUUUUCAAGUAUGUGUGUGUACAUAUGUACACACAGACUCACAAACAUAUAAAAUGAAAUGAACAGUAAAAUUCACAAGACAUGCUGCAUUAUAAAAUGUUAUAAACAAGCCCGCUCCCCCAAGGCAGAAAUUACCAGAUGUAAGUAUAUAUAACUUAGACAAUUUGUGUGUGGGUGUGGGUGUGUGCGCUCGCGCGCGCGCGCGCUUUAGGUGAAAGUUUACAGAGCAACUUAGUUUCUCAUUAAAAGACAAUUUCUUCUGUCAUCUUCUAAUUUGAAAGUGUGUUGAUGUGACUUCCUGUCUUUGAGAAUGGCACGUGUGAAGUUUAUUUGCCAGCAGCGGGCUGGGAUUUGCUCGUCUACCCUCCCGCUCACAUGAUCUCUUCUAAGAAGUGGGAGGUUCUCCCGCCUAGAGCCCUCUGGUCUCAGUGCCCCGGGGUGGGAAGGCAGCUUGGUGUGGAGGUCAGAUUUCAACCUCUAGAGUGACAGGUGGAUUCAAACCCUGUUAAAGCGCUUGCUAGCUGUUACCCUGCUCGGAUCGCUUACUUCUGGAAGCCUCCGUUUCCUCUUUUAUAAAAUGGGGAUAACUGUAGUACCCACUCUACGGGAUUUUGUGCAGCCUUCAAUGAGAUAAUGUACAUAAAAACUUAGCACAAUGACUAGUGUAAUUGGUAGCUAACUAAAUAUAGAUCUUGAGUCUACCCCAUGAAUGAAAUCUACUUUUUCUACAUGGAUAUGGAUGUAGAAACGAACACCAGGAUCGGGGAAUUUAGGUGAGUGCUGGUUUCUCUGAACGCUCAUUUUUCAGUUGGCUUUCAUUUCUGGGCUCUCUGACUGGAUGUUAACACAGCUCCACAUCUACUUUAGAACGUUGGGGGUGUUCAUUUUGCCUUGAUAUAAAUGUAUGAUAUUCAAAUGUUUUGAAAAGGAUGGUUUUUUCAGACGAACUCUAUGUUCUCCAGGAGGCUGUCAGAGGAAUAUCUAAGGGUCCUUUGUUUUAACACUUUCAUUAGACCCUGGUGAUCACGUGUCCAGUGACAGUCCCCACCUGCCCUCCCAGCUCCAUGCCAGGCAUGUCGGUUACAUCUUUAGCCUUGAGAGAGUUGGCUUAGAUCGGGGAGAAGAGGAUGACCAAUAAGAAUCAGUUCUUAAAUUCAUAAACAGUGGUUUUAUUGGGAAAGCUUUUGAAACUUAAUGGGUUUUAAACCACAUUUGAAAGGCAGUAAGGGGCUAAACCAAACCAAAUCAGUUGUGGUAAAGUCGAUUCUGAUGUGCGGCAACCACAUGUGUGCAGAGUGGAACUGUGUUCCACAGGGUCUUCAGUGGCUGUGAGCUUUUUUUUUUAAGGGGCUAAACCAAACCAAAUCAGUUGUGGUAAAGUCGAUUCUGAUGUGCGGCAACCACAUGUGUGCAGAGUGGAACUGUGUUCCACAGGGUCUUCAGUGGCUGUGAGCUUUCAGAAGCAGGUUGCUAGGCCUUUCUUCCAAGGGGCCUGUGGGUGGAUUCGAAUCACCAACCUUUUGGUAGUAGCCAAGUGUGUUAACUGUUUGCACCACCCAGGGACUCCUGCGAGGGGCUAGUUGUUUUUGUUGCUGUUUUUAAUUCAUAUGUUGGGGUACUCAGCACAUCUAGCUUGCCUUCUCCUAGUGUUAUUCCACUCUCUUCAUUCCUAAGGUCUCCUCCAUUCCUGAUAUCAAACCGAAGGACAAAAAGUUCUUAGGACAAAAAAGCUGUUAGGACAUUUAUGUUUCAGUGCAUAUUGUUCAUUUGUAUUGAAAUAUAAAUGACUGGUAUCUCUUAGGGACAUUAGCCCUACAAUGGCCUGUGCCUUUGGAUGGAUAAAGUUAGAAACCAUGGAUCUAAUAGUGCGAUUGAAGUGUUCAUUUGAGGGAGAUAAAAUACUCCUAAAAUUCAAAUCACAUAGACCACCUUCUACUUGUGUAAGGCCAGCAGGACUAGCUUUUAUGGCUCCUAGUCACCCUUAGAGCCCUGGUGGUGCAGUGGUUAAGUGAUAUGGCUGCUAACCAAAAGGUCGGUAGUUCGAAUCCACCAGCCGCUCCUUAGAAACCCUAUGGGGCAGUUCUGCUCUGUCCUGUAGGGUCGCUAUAGGUUGGAGUCAACUCAGUGGCAAUGGGUUAGUUGUGCUUAGCCCUUUCACUGACCCAUUUGUACAUAUAUGAGAUGCCUCUGGUGCCAGGAGGCCCAGAGGGGACUGCAGAAUCCCCUCGGUCUUGGGCUAUGACUGAGACAACAUUUAGACUUGAGUGAUACUCUGCCCAGGACUCCUGUCCUCUGAUUGCCGCCCUGUGCCUGCAGCAUGGCCACAUGUAGAAACGUGGGCUGCUGGAACUGGCUCCUCUUUCCUGUGAGCAUAUUUUCCUGGAGGUACCGCCCAUCCAUCCUGUAAUGGCAAUGGCUUACCAUCUUGAGUUGUCUAAAGUUCAAGGUAGGAGCCUGUCCAGGGAGGCAUCCCAGGUGAAUAUUCACUAAUCCUGGUCUUUCAGCUCAGUUUUACCUGCAGUUCUUCCUUGUUUUCACUAAAAGUGGGGGAAUUAGCAGUGAGUCAGUAUCUAAGCAAAACAGCAACUCUCUCUUAGUGCCAGGAGUAGAAUAGCAAACUUGAAAUGUCUCCCCUCCUUCCUCAGAAGACAUUUGCAAUCAAAGAAAGCAGUUAUUGUAGUCCUACCCCUGGGGAUGGAAUUUAAGAACAAAUGAAAACUCUGCCCAGAAGAAAAAUAAAGUCUAAUUGAGGGAGGGCCUUGGGGCAGCAGGCAUAAGGUGCAUCUAAGAGCAAUCAUCAACAGAUAUUUAUUGAACACUUGUCAUGCCCCCAGGCACUUUGCUAGAUCCUGCAGUUGAGAAGGAGCUCUGGUGGCACAGUGGUUAAGCGCUCGGCUCCUAACUGAAAGGAGGUGGGAGGUUUGAACCCACUAGUCACUCUAUGGGAGAAAGAUGAGACAGUCUGCUUCUGUAAAGAUUCACAGCCUGGGAAACCCUAUGGGGCAUUUCUACUCUGUCCUAUAGGGUCUCUAUGAUCAGAACUGGCUUCAUUUCAGUGGGGUAGGUGGAGGGAUUAGAGCAUAAAGCAUGUCCCUUUUUGAUGGGGAAGACAGACAAGUGACUAUGGAUACUCCUGGGGCUUACCAUAGUAGGAGUGUGAACAGGGACCCUGUUCUGGUCCAGAGGGGCUGAAGAAGAUCUCCCUGAGGAAUUGAAGUUUAAGCCGAUCUCUUAUCCAGGUAGUGAUGGGGAUGUUCUAGAAUCUAGGAGAAGGAAACAGUGUGUUCAAAGCCUGUGUGAAAAGAAAGUAAAGGGCCAUGCCCUUAUCAGUUUGUAAGUGGAUAGAGAGCUGCCUAGGAAAUAGAAUUGAUAGAACUUGGGGAUUGAUGGGAUGGGGUGGGGGCAGUGGUGAGAGGGAAAGGCAUCACACCUUCAGAUUUUUGGCUUGAGCAAUGUGGUGGAUGGAGGUGCCAUUUACUGGUAUUGGGAAUAUUUGAGGUGGAGCAGAUUUGUGGAGUGUAAGGAAGGGGCUUAUAGGACAUCUAAGCGGAGAGGUCAAGUAAGCAAUUAGAUAUGAGAAUGUAUUGUAGAAAGAAAAAAACUGUCAGGCCUGGGAAAGAUAGAUUUUUGGUCCUUCUGAAUCAGGAGGCAAAGAGAUGAAGGAAAUGACCUAAAGGGAAAUGGGAGGAGAAGCCAGUGUGCUCUGAGAAUUAAUACCAUGAUAUCUUCCUUGAGCGUUAAGAUGUUUUAUAUCUUUCAAGGGAACCUAGAGACCAUCUGGUCUCUUGCUACUCGGGGUGGUUCCUGGACCAGCAGCAGCACCUGGGAGCCUGUUACAAACAAAGGUUCUCAGGCUGCUCCCCAGCCCUACUCAAUCAGAAUCUGCAUUUUAACAAAUUCCCAGAGUUUAAGCAACUUGCCAAAAUGAUAUGACGACCAGAAGCGUCCCGGCUUCUCGUCCAGGACUCUUUCCCCUUCUCCAUGGUGACCUUGGGUUUUGAGACUACAGCUGGGUGAUCCUUCUAGCUGUUGUGGCCACUGGAAGCAGAUUAACAGUGAGACAAAUUUAAUACCUAUUAAUGUGGGCCCCUGGCAGAUGGGCUAGGGAAAGUUUUGUUAUUUAGGAAUGAUGUUGUUGUCCUAAGGAGCCACCAUUGUACCUAAAAGAAAUCUUUGUUUUGAUGAGCCUUUCAUGAAUUUGGAACAGGUUUCUCCCUGAUAUUCUUUUCAUUUAAGUAUGAAACUAAAAUAGCUUGCCAGGGGCUCUGAAGAGUCAAGACUGAGAGAUUCUGGGGCUGCUUCUUCAUCCAUCCUGCUCUAAAUCCUACUCUUUUACCCCCUGCCUUUCUCCCCUAGGUCAUCUUCCCCCUUUCCAGUUUCCAGAAUCCAGCUUCAACAUUAUCCCAAGGAGUUUCAGGAGCUCCAAAAGACAAGCACACCAGAGCCAGGGAAGAAACCUCUUCUUCUCCAGUGUCCCUCCAGUGCCUUCUACUGGCAAAGUCUAACAUUGGGCCAGCUGACAAAGGAGAAAUGUUUACAGAGUUCAUCUUCAUUUUUGCAGAGCAUACAAGGAAGGGUAGAUUUGGAGCUGAGACAACGAGCAAGGUUGUGUCAUCUCCAUAUUGCAACUUCUAGAAACCGGAAAAGGCAAGGAGUCUCCAGAAAGGAAUGCAGCCCUGCUGAAACCGUGAGACCCAUUUUGGAUUUCUGACCUCCAGAACUGUAAGAUAAUAAAUUUGUGUUAAGACACUCAAUUUGUGCUAAUUGGUUACAACAGCAAUAGGAAAACAAUACAUGCACCAGGUAGAUAAGAUUGGCAGAAGAUCAAAUUCAACCUGGAGAGGGAUGAAUGUAGAGUGAGGAUCAGGGGCCAAAUCCUGGGGUCCUUGAAUGUCACCCUAAGGUGCUUGAUUCCAUAGGAGAUGUUGACAGUGAUGCACGUUUUAGGAAAAUCACUUUGGUAGGAUGGUUUUGAGAAAAGGAAGCAGUUAGAGAAUGUACUUUUUCUUAUACAUUAAUGUAAUUUUUAUCUUGGUAAGCUCGUCUUUAAAAUAAUCCCUCAAGAGAAGCAUCAGUUGGUAUCAUUGUCACUGUAUGUGAAGGGUCACAGGUUUUUUACUCAACCUGCCUUUCUUAUCCUUUCUAUUUCAGGUUUCCCAUGAAGUUUAGCUUUACCUCCUCUACAGUCUCACCUGGUUCAGGUGCCAUGAAGAGCCAUUGGCAGGUGGGAGCAAUGGGUAAGAGCCACAAGGAGGAGAAGAAGAAUUUAGGGUGCAGAAUGGUGGCAGGAGCAGUGGAGACCACACAGGGCGGGGCUGGUCCCCUUCUGCACCUAAGGGGCCCCUGGACAUUUCAGCCAUGACAGCCACUGCACAUCUUGAUUCAGAUCUCAGCCCUUUUGGAGCUGUCCCUGUGGUUGUGCACUGCUGCAGUCUCUGAGUAUGUAUGCAUUAAUUAAACCCUUUCAUGACUGAGUCAUUUUUUGCUUUUAAUUUUUUGUUGGUAUGUUUUUUCAUUAAUGGAACACAUGCUGAAUCAUGAGUAUAUCUGAAUUUUCGAUAGGUAAUAUGGAUUUUGAUACAUAUUAUGUGGGACACAUAUGUCCCCCUGGGCUCUGGGGGUAGGAUUAGUGGUACAUCAAGUACUCUGCAAUUCGUGCUGGCACCUGAAAAUGAGGUAUUCCUGUGAACAUGGAAUCAUCAUGAGAAACACAACUUUUAAAUAACACACAGGAACCCAGAAAUAUACUUACAAUGCUUAUCUCUCAGUACAAAAGCCAAAAGGGACAAAAGUUUUGCACAAUCACACCUCCAGGAUGCACCACCUCAUGCAGUAUCCUGUAAAAACAGUUAUUUGUGGCAUAUGUCUGUUUCUUCUGUUUCAAACAAUUAUACAGGUCCCCCCCAUCAGUGGGUCAGUACCUUCCCAUUAAACCUUCUUCUACUUCUGUAACCAAGCUUUUCUUUAGUCUGUGAACAUAUUUUUAAUAGCUACUUUGAAAUCUUUUUCUGUUAAAUCCAACAUCUGGUUGCUUUCACAGACAGUUUCUGUUGCUGGCUUUUUUUUCCCCCUCGUGUAUAGGGCAUAGUUUUCUGUUUCUUUAUAUGCCUUGUAGUUUUUUGUUAGGAACUGGACAUUUUAUAUAAUGUAGCAACUGUGGAUACUGGUCCCCCACUCCCAUCCCAGUGUUUGUUAUUGUUAAAUGCAUGUUCAUCUUGUUUAAUGACUAAGUGGAUUAUUUUAGUGAAGUCUACUUUCCCUCUAUAGUGUUCAGCUAUAAUGUUGCUUGUCAGGUAGGCACAGCUUUGAGUAGACUAUCACAGUCAUCUUGAAAUGACAAUAAUACUGAUACGGCUUAUUUCCUCUCUUUUCCUGACCACAUCCAGCUAUAAACUCUACUAAUUGUCAGCUGAUUGAUCUAUUAUUUUCAACAACGUCUGGUGGCAUAAACUAAUCCAAUCAAGUCAUGUCUUCUUUGGAGGAAUAGUUUCUGAGAUCUGUGUUUGAUAUUUUUUCUGAUCCCAGGAGAGCUCCUCCCCGCUGUCUGAUUCUCCAGUUAUCUCCUGCA